UACGUAGGGUGCGAGCGUUACUCGGAAUUACUGGGCGUAAAGCGCGCGUAGGCGGCUUUGCAAGUCGGGUGUGAAAUCCCCAGGCUUAACCUGGGAACUGCAUUCGAGACUGCAUUGCUAGAGUAUGGGAGAGGGAAGUGGAAUUUCCGGUGUAGCGGUGAAAUGCGUAGAUAUCGGAAGGAACAUCAGUGGCGAAAGCGACUUCCUGGACCAAUACUGACGCUCAUGUGCGAAAGCGUGGGAGCAAACAGG
rnacentral:rRNA from 1 species